AAAAGUCCUACAGCCAAUCAGAAAUGAGCUUAUUCAUAAAAGUACAGUAUAAUCCAGUAAACCUGUAAUUUUAUGUAUAAGCUAGUCUCUGAUUGAAACAUGCAACAAAUGUCUUCUCA
rnacentral:pre_miRNA from 1 species